UGAAUGGCAAUGCACUAGGGAGUUAGGUCUUCCACUUCCAAUCAAAACUUUUUGAUAUUGACUUUUUUUUAUAAAAGUUUAUUUUUCUUCCUUUUUCAAUUUUUUUUUUCAUCCUCAUUACCACAUUUUUCCCUUAUGGCAAAUAUAUAUAUUUCACCAAAAAACAACUGCCCACUUUGGAAAAAUAUUCCAAUGAUGAUUUGAGGUUAAAAUUUUCACUAUGUUAAUGAUGCUCAUUGGUUUAAAU
rnacentral:lncRNA from 1 species